rnacentral:rRNA from 1 species
GAUGAACGCUAGCGGCAGGCCUAAUACAUGCAAGUCGGACGGGAUUGAGAAGCUUGCUUUUCAUGAGAGUGGCGCACGGGUGCGUAACACGUAUGUAACCUACCUUAAUCAGGGGGAUAGCCUCUCGAAAGAGAGAUUAACACCGCAUAAAAUCAAUUUAUGGCAUCAUAGAAUGAUCAAAUAUUUAUAGGAUUAAGAUGGGCAUGCGGAACAUUAGCUAGUUGGUAAGGUAACGGCUUACCAAGGCUACGAUGUUUAGGGGAUCUGAGAGGAUGACCCCCCACACUGUGACUGAGACACGGACCAGACUCCUACGAGAGGCAGCAGUAAGGAAUAUUGGUCAAUGGGCGCAAGCCUGAACCAGCCAUGCCGCGUGCAGGAAGACGGCCCUACGGGUUGUAAACUGCUUUUGCACCGGAAUAAACCUUUGUAUGUAUACGAAGCUGAAUGUACGGUAAGAAUAAGGAUCGGCUAACUCCGUGCCAGCAGCCGCCGCCG